rnacentral:rRNA from 1 species
CCUACGGGUGGCAGCAGUGAGGAAUAUUGGUCAAUGGACGAGAGUCUGAACCAGCCAAGUAGCGUGAAGGAUGACUGCCCUAUGGGUUGUAAACUUCUUUUAUAUGGGAAUAAAAUGUUCCACGUGUGGGAUUUUGUCUGUACCAUAUGAAUAAGGAUCGGCUAACUCCGUGCCAGCAGCCGCGGUAAUACGGCGGAUCCGAGCGUUCUCCGGAUUUAUUGGGUUUAAAGGGAGCGUAGGUGGAUUGUUAAGUCAGUUGUGAAAGUUUGCGGCUCAACCGUAAAAUUGCAGUUGAAACUGGCAGUCUUGAGUACAGUAGAGGUGGGCGGAAUUCGUGGUGUAGCGGUGAAAGGCUUAGAUAUCACGAAGAACUCCGAUUGCGAAGGCAGCUCACUGGACUGCAACUGACACUGAGGCUCGAAAGUGUGGGUAUCAAACAGGAUUAGAUACCCUUGUAGUC